rnacentral:rRNA from 1 species
UACGUAGGGUGCGAGCGUUGUCCGGAAUUACUGGGCGUAAAGAGCUCGUAGGUGGUUUGUCGCGUUGUUCGUGAAAUCUCACGGCUUAACUGUGAGCGUGCGGGCGAUACGGGGCAGACUGGAGUACUGCAGGGGGAGACUGGAAUUCCUGGUGUAGCGGUGGAAUGCGCAGAUAUCAGGAGGAACACCGGUGGCGAAGGCGGGGUCUCUGGGCAGUAACUGACGCUGAGGAGCGAAAGCGUGGGGAGCGAACAGG